rnacentral:rRNA from 1 species
UUGAUCUUGGUCAGGACGAACGCUGGCGGCGUGCCUAACACAUGCAAGUCGAGCGGGACAUACGACGGAAGCGAAGUUUCGGAUGGAGCGGAAGAUGUAUGUUCUAGCGGCGGACGGGUGAGUAACGCGUGAGCAACCUGUCCUUACAGGGGGAUAACACAGCGAAAGUUGUACUAAUACCGCAUGAGACCACGGGGAGACAUCUUCCAGGGGUCAAAGGAGCAAUCCGGUAAGGGGUGGGCUCGCGUCCGAUUAGAUAGUUGGUGAGGUAACGGCCCACCAAGUCGACGAUCGGUAGCCGACCUGAGAGGGUGAUCGGCCACAUUGGGACUGAGACACGGCCCAAACUCCUACGGGAGGCAGCAGUGGGGAAUAUUGGGCAAUGGGGGAAACCCCCUGACCCAGCAACGCCGCGUGAGGGAAGAAGGUUUUCGGAUCGUAAACCUCUGUCCUUGGUGAAGAGGAAGAGACGGUAGCCAAGGAGGAAGCCCCGGCUAACUACGUGCCAGCCGCUGC